GUUUAAUUUUUUAAUUAUUAUUUGAACCAAUCAGAACAAAAUAAAAGUAGAAAUGAGUUUCUUAAAGUUUCUCACGUUGAAAAACGUCUCUGUUCUCUCUCCUCCUUUUUCUAAAUUUUUUAUUUUGUUUUAAUAGAGAGUCUCUCCUCUAGAAACUCCCAAUAGAGAUUCUAGUUCUGGUUAUACAUAGACAUUAGCGAGGUGGAUCUUACCGUAACUUUUUACCGUAACUUUUUAUUGUUUACGUGUCGUCUCGCAAAUAUCAUUCUAUU
rnacentral:sRNA from 1 species